rnacentral:tRNA from 1 species
GCCAGCGUAGCUCAGUGGCAGAGCAAUCCUCUUGUAAGGGAUAGGUCGUGAGUUCGACUCUCACCGCUGGCUCCA